UGUAUUCCCAAUAUAGGACAGAAACGCCUAGAAUGCAAAUGUAACACACAAGUUAUGCGCUGUGGGCUCCAGGAGAAAGUGACAACACAACAAAUUAUGAUGCAUUAUGAAUUGUAAAUCCUACUGUGGACACACUAAGGACAAUGGUGAUUCAGAAGAGGAAGUCAGCAUCAUCUGAUGGAAAGGUUAGAAUCUCAGCUGGAUCUGACUCAUGAAUGACCCUUAGAAAGGAGUGGAACAUUCAAGAAUGGGGGUCAUUGCGUAUGAUAGAAUGCCUAUUACCUUUUCUUUUCCCCAACUGGAAAGUCUUAAACCCCGCCAUUCCUGACACAGCUUUGUUGCCGUUCAAUGUGGAAUUAGCUCCAGCUCUGACUCAGUGAAGAUGGUUUUGAAUUCCAAAGCUAAGGCUUUCCAAGACCUCUUGGUAUCAUGGGACCAAAGAUGGAUUUCUCUCAUGGGACGCGAGGAGGCCAUCAGUGCAAUUUAUUUCUGUCUCAAUCCUCAGUAAUAGACGUGACCUUGUGUCUCACAAGGCUCUUCUAACGCCCGUGGCCCUGGAUGUGAAGAGUUAAGAAUUCCACUCCUCUGUAGAGAGAUGUAGAUACCUUGACAUUCAGUUCCCAACCUAAUCCUUUCUAAAUCAGAUUAGUCCAUCCCAUCACUGACAGUUCACUGACGAGUGCAUUCCUCAAAGAGAAUCUCAUCUGAGAUGCAGAGCACUCGCUGCAGUUUUAUAGUAUCAGGGUAGUAAUUCAUGCCCGGAGUAAUAAAGAAACUCAUUAAAUGUA